UACGGGGGGGGCAAGCGUUGUUCGGAAUUACUGGGCGUAAAGGGCUCGUAGGCGGCCAACUAAGUCAGACGUGAAAUCCCUCGGCUUAACCGGGGAACUGCGUCUGAUACUGGAUGGCUGGAGGUUGGGAGAGGGAUGCGGAAUUCCAGGUGUAGCGGUGAAAUGCGUAGAUAUCUGGAGGAACACCGGUGGCGAAGGCGGCAUCCUGGACCAAUUCUGACGCUGAGGUGCGAAAGCGUGGGGAGCAAACAGG
rnacentral:rRNA from 1 species